rnacentral:rRNA from 1 species
GUAGGGAAUAUUGGGCAAUGGAUGCAAGUCUGACCCAGCCAUCCCGCGUGCCGGAAGAAGGCCCUCAGGGUUGUAAACGGCUUUUGACGGUGAAGAAUCGACAGGAUGCGUCCUGUUUUGACGGUAGCCGUUGAAUAAGCACCGGCUAACUCCGUGCCAGCAGCCGCGGUAAUACGGAGGGUGCGAGCGUUGUCCGGAUUUAUUGGGUUUAAAGGGUGCGUAGGCUGGAAGGUCAGUCAGCGGUGAAAAGCUGUCGCUUAACGAUAGUCUUGCCGCAGAUACUUCCUUUCGUGGAUGAGGAGGAGGCCACUGGAACGGAUGGUGUAGCGGUGAAAUGCAUAGAUAUCAUCCAGAACACCGAUUGCGAAGGCAGGUGGCUGUACCUUAAUCGACGCUGAUGCACGAAAGCAUGGGGAGCAAACAGGAUUAGAUACCCCUGUAGUCC